rnacentral:rRNA from 1 species
UAGAGUUUGAUCCUGGCUCAGAUUGAACGCUGGCGGCAGGCCUAACACAUGCAAGUCGAGCGGAUGAGAGGAGCUUGCUCCUCGAUUCAGCGGCGGACGGGUGAGUAAUGCCUAGGAAUCUGCCUAGUAGUGGGGGACAACGUUUCGAAAGGAACGCUAAUACCGCAUACGUCCUACGGGAGAAAGUGGGGGAUCUUCGGACCUCACGCUAUUAGAUGAGCCUAGGUCGGAUUAGCUAGUUGGUAGGGUAAAAGCCUACCAAGGCGACGAUCCGUAACUGGUCUGAGAGGAUGAUCAGUCACACUGGAACUGAGACACGGUCCAGACUCCUACGGGACGCAGCA